UACAGAGGGUGCAAGCGUUAAUCGGAAUUACUGGGCGUAAAGCGUGCGUAGACGGUUGCAUAAGUCAGAUGUGAAAGCCCCGGGCUCAACCUGGGAAUUGCAUUUGAGACUGUGUAGCUAGGGUGCGGAAGAGGGAAGCGGAAUUUCCGGUGUAGCGGUGAAAUGCGUAGAUAUCGGAAGGAACACCAGUGGCGAAAGCGGCUCUCUGGGACGGUACUGACGCUGAGACGCGAAAGCGUGGGGAGCAACAGG
rnacentral:rRNA from 1 species